rnacentral:misc_RNA from 1 species
GAUUUCUGGCAGGUUAGCAAAUUUUUGUUUCUCAAAGGAACUUUCUGUUACUAAUAUUUGCAGGGGCGGAAUUAGAAAUUCACCGGGAGAAAAAUAAAAAUAAAAAAAAAUUAAAUGAAAGUUUUGUUAAAAAUAUGGGAACUAAAAUUAAAUAUAAAAAUAUUAAGAUAUUAAAAUUGAAUAAUAUAAAAAUAUGAAUAAAA